UUAAGAAUGCCAUCAUGCAGGAUCUACACAGACUUGGGUGUACUGUAGGACCGAGGAUGAGAUUGCAGUUCAGGACCAAAGGAUUUGAAAGUUUCUUUCUUUAAAACCAGACAGAUGCAUUAUGCUGUCCAUAACAUCACCCUCACCUCCAAAUAAGCCAGAGAGGAGGUCUCCAGUUGCAGGGCUUGUCAUUCACCAAUCUCAACAGCACCUUCUGCCAGUUGUUUGAGUUUGGCUUCCCAUUCUGUCUGCGUCAUCACCAAAUCAUCUUCGUUGAUGCCACCAGCUUCAGCCUCACCUAUCUUGUGCUUCGACUCAUCACAUAUAUGGGCAGUGCAUACCCAGUUUCCGCAACCACACACACUACAAUUAAAAAAAGGGAGUGACUUGCAACUUACAGGCUGGAAGUCGUAUAAACCAAGUCUAAGACUUAAGGAGAGGAGUCGUUUUUAUUCAUGAGAAAAAAAAACAAUCCUGAUUUACACAUGAUUUGAACACAGGUCCUUAGGAUCAGAAGAGAGGACAUGAAAAGGGCAUCUUUGGCAUUAGUCACCUUCCAGGGCAGUGAGUGAGCCGGUGAGUGGAACAGUGCAGCACAACACAUUCACGUGAACACGCAACAAAUACCAAACUCAGAUGAGUAAUGCUGUAUCAUCAAGCCUCUCAAGUUCACAUCUAAACAAUAGUAUGCAUUAACAUCUACAAUGAAUUAUUCAUGUUGAGUUAUUGCAUAAAACGUUAAGGAUGUUCUGACUGUCAUAAACUAGAAAAAACUCAAUUUCAUAUUCAAAUUGCCUUUUUAUAAGUAAGUUAUUAACUUGCAAUUAAAAUUUGAAUGGAAACAUGUCUACGUCAAUAACAUACAGUUUAUUAUUCUUUCGUAUAUUGUUUUGUAUAGACAUUGGCUGGUAAUCAGUUUAAGGAUUUUAUGUAGUAAAUGUCAGCAAAACUAACUUUUUUCAAUUUGUUUCUUGUUGGAAGUAAUAUUUUUUUUUGGAUAUUUUUAUGAAUUUUUCAAAAUGUUAAUUGCUGAUGAUUGUGAUACAGUAUCAAUACACAUAUGAUAAUCCAGUAUACCUUCUUGUGCUAGGCCUUUAGUUGUAACACAACUUAUUACAGUAACUAGUAGGAUCCUUAUCAUGACUCUGAGUGGAUGACAGAAAAGGAAACAGGUUGAUAGGAUCCGAUAGUCCAUCAAGACAACUUCCUAUACUGUGGCAUACGUUCCUAUUCCAUAUUUAAGCACGUACUAAAUAUUCUUUAUGGAUGUCAUUCAUGAGGUUCUAUCCCAGAGCACUUGAAAUCUAAGCUUUUAUUGCAUGCAGUUAAAUAACUUAGCAUGUAAUAACAUUGAUAAGUUUGAACCAAAAAAAUAUCUUCAAUAUUCCGUAUGCUAAUGAAAAGUCAUCUAUAAUUUUAGUUUUUAAUCAGUAUAUUAAUAAAUAAUGUGUAUUCUGAUGUUUAUUAUUUUAGUAAUUGUCACAAAGUCAUGUAGGCCUAUGUACAAUCAGCCAAAGUUUCAAACCAUGUAUUUUUUACUGUUUGACCAAUAAAUAAAUCUUG
rnacentral:lncRNA from 1 species